UACGUAGGGUGCGAGCGUUGUCCGGAAUUACUGGGCGUAAAGAGCUCGUAGGUGGUUUGUCGCGUUGUUCGUGAAAACUCACAGCUUAACUGUGGGCGUGCGGGCGAUACGGGCAGACUGGAGUACUGCAGGGGAGACUGGAAUUCCUGGUGUAGCGGUGGAAUGCGCAGAUAUCAGGAGGAACACCGGUGGCGAAGGCGGGUCUCUGGGCCGAUACUGACGCUGAGACGCGAAAGCGUGGGGAGCAAACAGG
rnacentral:rRNA from 1 species